rnacentral:tRNA from 1 species
GCCGGAGUGGUGAAACUGGUAGACACAGGGGACUUAAAAUCCCCCGGACCGUAAGGUCUGUACGGGUUCAAGUCCCGUCUCCGGCA